UUGCCAAUGCUCAAGUCGGUCACGCUUUCAGUAUCAUUUUGUCGGCUGUGAACUGUGAAGGAAAUUUGUAGCGCCGCGCGCAGUGCAUUUUUUUCUGCAACAAACAACAACAAUAUUCUAGUCAAAGAGUAAGCGGUAAACGGCAAGCAUAUUACAUAACAACCGCUACACAGCUGAGCGCGUCAACAACAGCUACAAAGAAGAAAGAGAGAGCGAGAGAGAGAGAGAUUAAUAUAAAACAGUCUGCAAAGAAGAAGCGACAAAGCGACCGCCAAUAUAUUUGAUACUAACUGCUAAAAGAAAGAAAGAGAAGGAAACGAAAAGGCUUUAAGCGCAACUCUUUGCGUUCCAGUCUACGACGAGAGCCUGUAAAAGCUCUCGCCAGGCAUUAAAGUACACUCAUUGACACAUAAACACACAGACACACUCUCACAUACAGUUUCCAGCACCCGCUCGCCCACUAACACCACAGCCAAAGCAGACAAGAGAAUUUAAGCAGAAACAACAAAAAGAGAAUAAAUUAGAACAGCAGCUGGCAGCUGAGAGCGCUGAGCGCCAAACGCCCAAGACACACACAUAGACAGAUAGAGAGUGAGAGAGUAGAAGACUCUCUGAUCUCGUAGAUCGAGAUAUACGUGCGAACGAGAGAGAACGAAAAACAAUCUUCAAGUCUUGUACAAAAGAACGACGCACUGAGAGUAUUUUGCAAAAAAUACUCGUGCACACACACUCUCAGGAUAUGUACGGCAACAAUAAUCCGGGUAGUAACAAUAAUAACGGUGGUUAUCCUCCAUACGGUUACAACAAGUCGAGCAGCCAAGCAACAGCAGCCUUAACAACCGAUCUCAACAAGAACAGCGAAAACAACGACAGAUACAAACGCAUCGAUUGUAUUUAGUGUGGUUGCUUUUCGCUCCACUUCAUUAUUAUUACGAUUAUUUUUAAUAUUACUAUUACUAUUGUUUGAAACAAAGAAUAUAUAUAAAUACAUAUAUAUAUUAUAACACAUAUAUAUAUAUAUAUAAAAUAAAACUGGUGUGAUAAAUCUCUGUGAAGUACCCAAACAACAAAAUGUUCCUUAAACGAAGACGCCGUCAACGCCUCGGUGGACGUGUAUUUGGCAUGUCUCAUUCACUGCCAUCGGGAAUGGUAUGUAUUUUCUUCUUUGCUUCUAAAUUUU